AGGGACAACAGGGGUGUGAGUGCUUCUGGGCAGGCCAUACACUAACACAAAAAGCCACAUCCCUAGGGCAUCAGCAGCUUUGGAGGUUUCUCUCCUAAGCACUGUUGGGGAGAAGCGUUUACCUUAUGUACCAGCCUCAGUGCAAAAGGUGAGUGUCUCUGUGUGAAAUGCUUGGUGCACCACAUGGCCACAUCAGGAACCUCACCUCACCAGCUGGAAUGACUCCACAUGUGCAUUUUCCCAGCUAGAUUAACAACCUCAAAGGUAAUUUCCCACUCCCCACCCCCAGGCGUUAUGCUGGUUCUUCACAUCUUGGCCCUCAAACCCACCCUGCUUCUGGGUUUGAAGAUAGGGGGACACAAGGGCUAAAGGCUCUUCUUCCUUUCAUGCUACCCACCAUGUCCUACCAAGCUCGUCCCAGGUCUUGCCUUGAACGCACAGGCAGUUUAGAUAGGACUGUACCCAGAGAACAGCUUGGUGAACUUUCAUUUGGAUGGCCACCAAAAGGGCCCAGCAAGAGUAUCUUCCCUUAGGUCCCAUCAACUCCCAGGUCACCUCUGCCUUUUACCCGUGUCCUGAAUGUGCAUGUUCCACUGGGCAUGGGCGCAGGUGUCUCUGCUCCCAGAUCUCAGUUCUCCCACCAGCUGGCUGGUUUCGAGGGGCUUUUAAAAUUCUUCUACUUCUAUCGCUGGUGUCAGGGUGGACAAAGUCCCUUAGGCCACACCUAGUCUACCCCCAUUGGCCACUGCAGUCCCCUCCAGCAUACUCUCCCACGGUUUGCCUAGUCCAGUUCUAAAGAGCCUAAACCCUCAAUACCAAUACUACUUUCCUUGGGAGACUAUACCACAGUCCAACUGAUCCCACUAGUAUCUUCCCCUUCCCAGUCCAAGCCACUGGUUGGUCCUUUCUGUCCACAAGAUCAGGUCUCCAUUGCUGGGAAAGCUUCAGUCAGGUCUUUAAUGCAGGUCUCCACUCAUGAGCCAAUGCCACGUGGCCAUCUUUAAAAAAAUGUGACAAAACCCUCACACUGGAGAAAAGGAUUGCCUAUUGCUCCCACGUCUGCCUUGGCUACACCGAGUGGUGCAUCUCUCUCCUAAUACUGGAUGCAGUGAUUAGCUGCUGUCCUUUGUUGGAUGCUAAAUGGUGCCUGUAAAGGACUGAGAUAUUAUUCUCUUCCUUAUUCCAUACAACACAGGAGGAACAAUUGUAACUGCAAACCAUUAUUCCUAGUGUUGAGUGAGGACACUCUGCAUCCUGAGUGAAAAUAUCUUAAUGCUGCCAGGCCACUCAUUGCUUAUAGGUACAGCCGCCACCAUUGGUUCCACUCAAUGAACCAUUUUGAGCACUAAUUGUUUAAUCACAUUCUUUUCUUUUGGUUACAAAAACUCAAACCGCCAAUUCCUUACCAGGUCUGUGCUUUGCAUCUUAAAAAGAAGGCUCAAUAGAUUUCAAAACAGAUGUGUUGAUUUAGUCUUUAACAGUAGCACAACAGAUAUCGCCGAUCAUCUCACUGUAAAUGUGUACUACAAAGACAAUUGGUAAUGAAAUUAUCCAGCCCUCUAAAAAUAUCUAGCUACUACAUCACAAUGAGUUUUGAAUGAGCUAAAGCACUCAGCGAUAUUGUUCACUGCAGAAAGGUCAUUAACUACUGUAACUGUGUUUCUGUUAAAAGGCCUGGAUAAUUUUAUAAUCAGUUAUAUCUUUAUCACGCAUGUAUGACAGGAUAACUCAACUGUCAUGUUUCAGGGCAUCAGCUGAUUCCUUCCUGACCCACUGAAUCACUUUUCCAGCCCCACACCACCACAGCACUCCAGUUUCCUCUCCUGCAGUGCCUUUCGUACAAGGAGUUCAAAGCACUUUACAAAUAUUAACAUAUUUUGUCUCCCCCAACCCCCCACCCCCAAAGGCAGGUCAGUAUCACCUUCCCCCCCAGCUAUUGAUAGGAAACUGAAGCAAAGAGUUGCAAAGUGACUUGCCCAGCAUUAUACACCAAGUCAAUAGCAGAGCCUUGAGUGGAACCAAGGAGAUCUGAGUAAGAUCUAACUCCAGAUUCACUUCUGAGAGGCUAAGUACCUUUGGCAGGGGUGUCACCUUACCCUAAACAUUCAGGUAUUGAUGACUGCAAGAAUCAGAAUACCAGACUAGACAGGUCAUGAUAUAUAUGGCUGGGUAAAACUUGUCUUCCCCCAAAGUUAUAUUGCCACAUGGACACCCCAUGUCUUGGUGUGUUUAGCCGUUUAGCAUCAUAUCGUGAGGGGACCCUGUCAGGCAAAUGGGUGGAGACCCCACCUAGGAGCUGGGGAGAGAGAGAAACACCUAACAAACAACAGGGGGCUAGGCAGUGCCACAAAACUAGAGAUGGGGCCGGCUGGGACGCUUAAGUUUCCCCCUACAUUUGGGAGGGUUUGGCUCAGAGGGGUGGAUGUCAGUGUCCUGGCCCACUGGUAGCAGGGCCAGCCAUAGCUGCAACCUGCAGCCAACAUCUCCAAGGCCAACAUACAUCUAGGCUUUCCGCCUCCUCUCCAUAUCCUAGCAACGGGGGCUACCAUCUCCCCCAGAACUCUUGCUGCGGAGGCUAAGCAGCUUGCCCUGCUGUGAAUUCAGGUCUCCGGACACAGCUGGGUAUGUGGGCCCAAGGGUGGCAAAGGCUGGGAACGGGAACAUCUUGGAUCGCCCGGGGCUCUGAUCAGGGAGCUCUUGGCGCUUUUAACCCUGGCUACCCCUGUGAGGCUUUGGCGAGACUUUCCAGUUCCCAUCAGUUACUGCCUGGCGCUCACCCCCCCCCCCAUUAAACAAACAUCUGGGCCAGCUAAUCGAGUCCUGUGGAGCGAGGAGGCUGAUGUGGAGGUGUAAUUUGAAACCCAGCUCCCUGCAGGCUCUGCCUUACCAGGCAGGUGGCAGCCCUUUACCUACAGUCCCUGGCUCGCCAGUAAAACUCCUCAGCACAGGGGAGCUGUUUAGCAUCAAAUAUUUAUUUAAGCCCAAAGAGCUGGUGCAUGGAUCAGGUUUCCGGAGGCUCCGGGUCUCCUCUUGCCUCUUUGUGCGCGUCGGGGGCUGUGCCAGGGACAGAUAAAUAAAUAAUAAAAUGCCACGUGGUGACAUAAUGCUCGCCAUGAAGUGCCCCCCCCCCAUGCUAGUUCUCCCCCUCCCAGACACACACGGCUACAAACAUCCAGGUGCCAGGAGAGUGUGGGAUCAGCCCUCGGUGAACAGCUGGUGUCAGGGGAAGGUGCAGGCAGGGUUCACUGCUGCCAGGCGCUGGUGUUCAAGAGGUAUUUACAGCACGACUGUCUCUCUCUCCAAAAAUCAAGAUAAUCUGAGCCCCGCCCUCCCACACAGCCCCAAUUAAUACAUUCCAUUAACGGAGACAGACUGCAGGCUGGCCCCGAGUUAGCAAAGCCCGUCGGCACGUUGAAGUCAAUGGGAUUAUUAAUUGGGUUAAAGCCAGGCAAAGUGCUUUGCUAUAUGUCAAUGCACACGCAUACCCACUCACCCUGCUGGGCCUUUGGAACUCACUUCCACUGCUGGCAAGUAAUAGUCUGAGUUUGCAAACCUUCAGAGUGUGCUGCAAGACCCAUCUCUGAGCCCUAGCCUGGAAGGCGGUUGCUAGAGCUGAGUGAUGGUGGUGUGGGAUCCCAGGGGAAGGGUUUAAACUAUCUCUUUGGGACAGAGACUGGAAUUUACUAUAGCUUUGUACAGCACCAAGCACAGUGGGGCCCCAACUUGGAUGGUCUCUAGGUGCUACCAUGAUAUAAACUUUAAAUAACAAAAUAAGUUGUUGCUGGAGAAUUUGCUCUGUUUAUUUAUUAGUGUAAUUUUAAAAUUCAAGAGCAUGCAGAGCUUUCGAUGGUCAUUCUUAUAGAGUAAUAAAAAUUACAUGUAUUAAGUUAAAGCAAUUACAUCUAAGGGAAGAUGGUUCUUUCAUUUUAAAUAUUUCUAUUGUUCACAAUUAAGGGAAGAGCAAAUUCCUUCCAAGGAUGGUUUUGUACUAACAGGCCACAAUGCACAAUUUCAUGUUUUAAAGUCUAUUUGCACAGUUUGUUACUACAGUUUCAACUGGAAACAUUAGACUUCAUUUCCUGUCCUAACUGUGGUGUGGUAGCAAUGUUGUGUACUGUUAAACAGCUGCCAUACACCACUCCAGAGAUAGCCUAAUUUUAAUGACAAGUAAAGUGAUUGCUACCCAUAGGUAAAAAAUUCUCCUAUAUUUCUGGCUUGGCUUAUCUAGCCACAUUGGGCUGGUGCCACUUCACUCAGGUCAGUGGAAGGUACUGCGUGAAACCUGCAAGAGACUGUUAGUGCAAAGCAGAGAGAAUUCUGUCCAUCAUCUGCCAAAUGCAUUGGGUCUUCUGGGGAUGGAAGAGGCUGUAUAGGAUGUUAUCUAAAAGGAUCAGCCCUUCAGAUGACUGCAGAAGAAGCAGAAAAUGUCCGGGGCUUUGCUUCAAAUU